GAGCUGUUCAGCAGUGGAACAGACGCCCUCGUAAGCCUCUUGGAAAACCAGCGACUGUGGAGAAUAAAACACUUCAUCAUCAACUUCUUCUGGCUUUCUGGGACCUGAUUUGAGGUGUUGCAUCUUUCCACAGCAUCUCACAAAGCCUGGCUGGACGCCACCUUCAUGGAGUAUCCAGAGGCCCUGCUCUUCUAUAACUGGCCAAGCAAUACUUGGGCAUGGACAGUUUAUGCUAUAAACUACAGAACUAGUUUUUCUCCUGAUUUCAUUCUGAGGAAUCUUCUGAGAAGAUUCUGUGUACAAACAAAACACGCAAAGGCAAAUACUGAAAAACAGGAAGGAAAAGAACUUGUGACACACUGAUCUGCUGCCACCCACAACAAAUAUUUGAUGUCUUCAGCUGAAUAAUUUUGCAGUGUCAGAAGGUCCUGGCCUUUCAACUGGGUGGGAGUUUUAGUAGGUUGUGG